UGUAGGCCCUAAAGAUAAAGAAAGUGAAAAGAAAUGUGAAAAAGAAAUGUUCCAGGCAAAAAAGGACGGCAGCUCGAAUAUAUAACCUUAAAAUAUGAACCAAGUCCAAGUCAGGGACAUGGUCUAGCCGAGACAGAAUAUUCAGACUUGAAGCCAGGGUCUAAAGAUAAAGAAAGAGGAAAAGAAAAAGAAAAUGCUGAAUGCAGACAAGAAGACCAGCACGAAUAUGUAAAAAUGAAGUAUGAAUCAGAUCAGGUGCAUGGUCCAGCCGAGGCAGAUUAUGUUAACUUGAAAACAGACUUGAAGUCAGGUGGAGGUUGUAAAGCAAAACCACGCAAGAAAAGAGUUUCUUAUGUGAACCUGGGACUCACACGAAUAUUUUAAUUUGUUUGGCGAGUUUAUAUUUCAAAACUGUUUGUUCAAUCCAGAAGAACCCGUUGGUUAUUACAAUAUUCUAGAAUUUACAAUAAUCUUGAUUUGUUGCACGGUUACAAAUGACAAAAUGUACAUGUAAAAUAUAAAAAUAAUGUGAAUGUGACUAUUAACCUUUGGCAUAAUUGUACGUUUAGUUUAUAUAUUUUAGUUUAACUAUGCUGCGUGCAUAUGCAUCUGAUAAUGAUUCUAUUUAUGUAAUUAGAUGUUGAGAAAUCUGAUACAUUUUGUAAUCAGCUAUUUCACACUUUCUGAACACAUCUUAAAUGAAAUCAUUUCGCCCAAUACUAUAAAAUGUACAUAAUAAAUGUCUUGAUAAUAUGGUACUAAUUAUAUUUUAUUUUGUGGAUUUUCUGUUAAGAAAUUGUACAUCAUUACUCACAGUAGCACGUUCGUUGUUAGGUAACGAAUGUAAUCUAUUUUCCUGCUUUAUGGACAAUGUUGCUUUGUCUGAUAUAUGUUAAUAUCUUCAAUAUCUUGCCUUUUGUAAAACGUAUGAUUGUUUAUCUUACUUUUAGUUAUCAUAUUUAUGCAUAUGCACAUGAAAUACAAAAUGAAUAUCUUAAGAUUAGG